UGUUGGUCAGUUGGGCACAUCUGCACACAUUUACAAUAUCUGCCACCUCUUUUAACCCUCAACCCCGCCCCACAAAAUGAGUGAUGGUGCUUGUUGAUUUGCAGAUUCACAGUCUGGUGAGACAAGUUUGAGAUCUCAUAUUUUCAGCUCAUCCUUGAAAACCUUUCUUCGAUUUGACUGACCUUGAUGGCUCCCUGGAAUCUCACCUACAUUUUAUGGGAAAUUCAACUCUCCAGAGAGAAGAGCUUUCAGAUAGCUACGGGACUUGCAACUAUGACUUUCAGCUUUCGCUUUUGAAUGAGGCUCCAAAUGUCUCAAUGGUGGCACUAUUUCCAGAUUUGGGCACUUCCUCCCUGACAUUAUGUCCAUGACCCUGCACCCUGCGGGGGGCUCGGAUAUGUUACGUCUGAUUCAAAGACAACCAAAAAGAAGGAAAUAAUGAUUUCACCAAGAAAGGACACAUACCAAGGCAGGAAUAGAGCCCUGCAAAGCUAAUCUGCUCAACCUUCACCUACUGGGUUCAAUGAAUAUGAAAAGCUGCCUUCCUGAAACUUUUCCUUCAAAGAGGGAAUGAUCUCCUGGAAUUCAAGCUUCUACAGGAGAACUGUGUGCAGGCCCAAGGAGAACAACUACAUGAGAUAAACCUUAUGUUUUCAGU
rnacentral:antisense_RNA from 1 species